CAGUCGCCACGGUAAUACGAAGGGUGCAAGCGUUACUCGGAAUUACUGGGCGUAAAGCGUGCGUAGGUGGUGGUUUAAGUCCGUUGUGAAAGCCCUGGGCUCAACCUGGGAAUUGCAGUGGAUACUGGGUCACUAGAGUGUGGUAGAGGAUAGUGGAAUUUCCGGUGUAGCAGUGAAAUGCGUAGAGAUCGGAAGGAACAUCUGUGGCGAAGGCGACUAUCUGGGCCAACACUGACACUGCGGCACGAAAGCGUGGGGAGCAAACAGGAUUAGAUACCCCGGUAGUCCCUGUCUCUUAUAC
rnacentral:rRNA from 1 species